UACGUAGGUGGCAAGCGUUGUCCGGAAUUAUUGGGCGUAAAGCGCGCGCAGGCGGUUUGUUAAGUCUGAUGUGAAAGCCCACGGCUCAACCGUGGAGGGUCAUUGGAAACUGGGGAACUUGAGUGCAGGAGAGAAGAGUGGAAUUCCACGUGUAGCGGUGAAAUGCGUAGAGAUGUGGAGGAACACCAGUGGCGAAGGCGACUCUUUGGCCUGUAACUGACGCUGAGGCGCGAAAGCGUGGGGAGCAAACAGG
rnacentral:rRNA from 1 species